rnacentral:rRNA from 1 species
AGCACCGGCUAACUACGUGCCAGCAGCCGCGGUAAUACGUAGGGUGCAAGCGUUAUCCGGAAUUAUUGGGCGUAAAGGGCUCGUAGGCGGUUCGUCGCGUCCGGUGUGAAAGUCCAUCGCUUAACGGUGGAUCCGCGCCGGGUACGGGCGGGCUUGAGUGCGGUAGGGGAGACUGGAAUUCCCGGUGUAACGGUGGAAUGUGUAGAUAUCGGGAAGAACACCAAUGGCGAAGGCAGGUCUCUGGGCCGUUACUGACGCUGAGGAGCGAAAGCGUGGGGAGCGAACAGGAUUAGAUACCCUGGUAGUCCACGCCGUAAACGGUGGAUGCUGGAUGUGGGGACCAUUCCACGGUCUCCGUGUCGGAGCCAACGCGUUAAGCAUCCCGCCUGGGGAGUACGGCCGCAAGGCUAAAACUCAAAGAAAUUGACGGGGGCCCGCACAAGCGGCGGAGCAUGCGGAUUAAUUCGAUGCAACGCGAAGAACCUUACCUGGGCUUGACAUGUUCCCGACGACGCCAGAGAUGGCGUUUCCCUUCGGGGCGGGUUCACAGGUGGUGCAUGGUCGUCGUCAGCUCGUGUCGUGAGAUGUUGGGUUAAGUCCCGCAACGAGCGCAACCCUCGCCCCGUGUUGCCAGCAGAUUAUGCCGGGAACUCACGGGGGACCGCCGGGGUUAACUCGGAGGAAGGUGGGGAUGACGUCAGAUCAUCAUGCCCCUUACGUCCAGGGCUUCACGCAUGCUACAAUGGCCGGUACAACGGGAUGCGACACCGCGAGGUGGAGCGGAUCCCUUAAAACCGGUCUCAGUUCGGAUUGGAGUCUGCAACCCGACUCCAUGAAGGCGGAGUCGCUAGUAAUCGCGGAUCAGCAACGCCGCGGUGAAUGCGUUCCCGGGCCUUGUACACACCGCCCGUCAAGUCAUGAAAGUGGGCAGCACCCGAAGCCGGUGGCCUAACCCCUUGUGGGAUGGAGCCGUCUAAGGUGAGGCUCGUGAUUGGGACUAAGUCGUAACAAGGUAGCCGUACCGGAAGGUGCGGCUG